AGAGUUUGAUCCUGGCUCAGAAUCAACGCUGGCGGCGUGCCUAACACAUGCAAGUCGCACGAGAAAGUGGAGCAAUCGCAUGAGUAAAGUGGCGCACGGGUGAGUAACACGUGAAUGAUCUACCUCCGAGUGGGGAAUAACUGAGAGAAAUCUUAGCUAAUACCGCAUAAUACCCACGGGUCAAAGCAGUAAUGCGCUUGGAGAGGAGUUCGCGGCCGAUUAGCUAGUUGGCGGGGUAAUGGCCCACCAAGGCGAUGAUCGGUAUCCGGCCUGAGAGGGCGCACGGACACACUGGAACUGAAACACGGUCCAGACUCCUACGGGAGGCAGCAGUGGGGAAUUUUGCGCAAUGGGGGAAACCCUGACGCAGCAACGCCGCGUGGAGGAUGAAAUCCCUUGGGAUGUAAACUCCUUUCGAUAGGGAAGAUAAUGACGGUACCUAUAGAAGAAGCCCCGGCUAACUUCGUGCCAGCAGCCGCGGUAAUACGAGGGGGGCAAGCGUUGUUCGGAAUUAUUGGGCGUAAAGGGUGCGUAGGCGGUUUGACAAGUCUGAUGUGAAAUCUAUGGGCUCAACCCAUAGUCUGCAUCGGAAACUGUCGGGCUUGAGUAUGGGAGAGGUGAGUGGAAUUUCCGGUGUAGCGGUGAAAUGCGUAGAUAUCGGAAGGAACACCUGUGGCGAAAGCGGCUCACUGGACCAUUACUGACGCUGAGGCACGAAAGCUAGGGGAGCAAACAGGAUUAGAUACCCCCGUAGUCC
rnacentral:rRNA from 1 species